GAUGAACGCUGGCGGCGUGCCUAAUACAUGCAAGUCGAGCGAACGGACGAGAAGCUUGCUUCUCUGAUGUUAGCGGCGGACGGGUGAGUAACACGUGGAUAACCUACCUAUAAGACUGGGAUAACUUCGGGAAACCGGAGCUAAUACCGGAUAAUAUUUUGAACCGCAUGGUUCAAAAGUGAAAGACGGUCUUGCUGACACUUAUAGAUGGAUCCGCGCUGCAUUAGCUAGUUGGUAAGGUAACGGCUUACCAAGGCAACGAUGCAUAGCCGACCUGAGAGGGUGAUCGGCCACACUGGAACUGAGACACGGUCCAGACUCCUACGGGAGGCAGCAGUAGGGAAUCUUCCGCAAUGGGCGAAAGCCUGACGGAGCAACGCCGCGUGAGUGAUGAAGGCCUUCGGAUCGUAAAACUCUGUUAUUAGGGAAGAACAUAUGUGUAAGUAACUGUGCACAUCUUGACGGUACCUAAUCAGAAAGCCACGGCUAACUACGUG
rnacentral:rRNA from 1 species